rnacentral:tRNA from 1 species
GCGCCCGUAGCUCAGCUGGAUAGAGCGCUUGCCUCCGGAGCAAGAGGUCAGAGGUUCGAAUCCUCUCGGGCGCGCCA